CCCUUAGAUGUCCGGGGCCGCACGCGCGCUACACUGAAGGAAUCAGCGUGGCUUUCUCCCUGACCCGAAAGGGUUGGGAAACCCGUUGAAUCUCCUUCGUGAUAGGGAUUGGGGCUUGAAAUUGUUCCCCAUGAACGAGGAAUACCUAGUAAGCGUGAGUCACCAGCUCGCGUUGAUUACGUCCCUGCCCUUUGUGCACACCGCCUGUCGCUACUACCGAUUGAGUGGUCCGGUGAGGCUUUGGGAUCUGAGCGGAAAGAGCGUUUCGCUGUUUCUGCUCGGAAAACUCAGUCGAACCUUAUCAUUUAGAGGAAGGAGAAGUCGUAACA
rnacentral:rRNA from 1 species